AACGAACGCUGGCGGCAUGCCUAACACAUGCAAGUCGAACGAGACCUUCGGGUCUAGUGGCGCACGGGUGCGUAACGCGUGGGAACCUGCCCUUAGGUUCGGAAUAACUCCCCGAAAGGGGUGCUACUACCGGAUAAUGUCUUCGGACCAAAGAUUUAUCGCCAUUGGAUGGGCCCGCGUUGGAUUAGCUAGUUGGUAGGGUAAAAGCCUACCAAGGCGACGAUCCAUAGCUGGUCUGAGAGGAUGAUCAGCCACACUGGGACUGGGACACGGCCCAGACUCCUACGGGAGGCAGCAGUGGGGAAUAUUGGACAAUGGGCGAAAGCCUGAUCCAGCAAUGCCGCGUGAGUGAUGAAGGCCUUAGGGUUGUAAAGCUCUUUUACCCGGGAUGAUAAUGACAGUACCGGGAGAAUAAGCUCCGGCUAACUCCGUG
rnacentral:rRNA from 1 species